ACCUUUGCAUAGUGGCAGUAUUGUAGCCAAUGAGGUUCACUGGAGGUGACAUUGCUGCUAAUUUAGAACUUUUCCCAUCAUCUCUCCAUGAAGACCUGAAGUAUAGUCAGCAUUGGCAAUUUUUGACAGUCUCUACAGAGA
ensembl:snRNA U4 U4 spliceosomal RNA